AUUGAACGCUGGCGGCAGGCCUAACACAUGCAAGUCGAGCGGUAGAGAGGUGCUUGCACCCCGAUUCAGCGGCGGACGGGUGAGUAAUGCCUAGGAAUCUGCCCGAUAGUGGGGGACAACGUUUCGAAAGGAACGCUAAUACCGCAUACGUCCUACGGGAGAAAGUGGGGGCUCUUCGGACCUCACGCUAUCGGAUGAGCCUAGGUCGGAUUAGCUAGUUGGUGGGGUAAAGGCUCACCAAGGCGACGAUCCGUAACUGGUCUGAGAGGAUGAUCAGUCACACUGGAACUGAGACACGGUCCAGACUCCUACGGGAGGCAGCAGUGGGGAAUAUUGGACAAUGGGCGAAAGCCUGAUCCAGCCAUGCCGCGUGUGUGAAGAAGGUCUUCGGAUUGUAAAGCACUUUAAGUCGGGAGGAAGGGCUGUAGGUUAAUACCUUGCAGCCUUGACGUUACCGACAGAAUAAGCACCGGCUAACUUCGUGCCAGCAGCCGCCGUAACAC
rnacentral:rRNA from 1 species